AUGAGCUAUGCCUAUGUUUACAGUCACAAAUCCUGUUACCUAGGACCAGAAAAGAGCCAGUGCUGAGGUCACAAUGGCCAUGCCAUGCAUGCUUUAGCACUUAGAGCAAUUUAGAAUUUCUCUAGUCUGGUUCCAUGGAUAGAUUACUAGCAGAAGUGAACAUGCUCCAAGUAUGGUUUCAUCAAAAAUUAAUCUAACAUCUUUCCAGGAUAUGGACCAAAAUUAAAUAAAUUAAAUAAGUUGGGGUGAUCGGAGGAAAACUUCUAAUACAGAGAAAAUUGCAUCAAACUGCCGCAUCUUAUCAUGAUCCUGUCACACUAUUUUGGAAGGAAAGAAAAGGAAGACGAUUUAAAAUCAGAGUCAAUUGAAAAUGUUACAUGAUCCAACAGAGCCAGUCAUCUCAGUGAAGAGUUGAAAAUGAGAAACAGCCAGUCACAAAAGAACAAAGGAGUGGGAUUUCUUAAGGCAUGUGGAUGGAGAAGAAGCAAAUGGAGGGUAGUUGUUAAACAGCUCCAGAUGAACACUACACGCUGUUUUAACCUUCCAAGAUUUGUUAGGCAAGAGAGAUGUCUAAAAUCAGUGGAAGAUAGGUUGGACAACUGAAGAUUAACAGGACCCAGACUGGGAAACUUAAAGUAGUAACAAUAAUACAAAAAAAAAAAAAAAAAAAAAAAAAAAAAAAAAAAAAAAGGCAUUUUGAAGACAGAAACAAAAAACUCUCCAUUGGACAAAAACCCUACUGCAUCAUCUAAAAGUGUUAAAGCAUUAAUUUUUUAAUUAUUUUCUACUGUUGUUUCAUGGAGUUAUUAUAAGUUUGAAAUGCCUACAGACAAUUUCCCCUAAAAAGCUACUGUCAGUAUUGCCAGCCAACAGCCCACGUGUUGGCCAAAAUAGAAGUUACCCCAUAGCACUCAGCAAACCCAGUUUAAUAUAGCAUUCAUUUCUGUUUAUGCAAAACACAAUACACACUAAACUUACAUAUAAACCAGAUCUGAAUGUUGCUUACUCUUGCUUCCCAAAAAUAAUCCAGAUUAGUAUUCCUGUUUGUAGAGGCUAGCCAUGUUAGUGUAUACAUUAGGAUUCAGGAUCCCAUUCCCCUCAGGAUUAAAUAUGGUUUUUGCAGAUGACAUUCAAAAGUGGUGUGUAUGGUUUCAGCUCUGGGUUGGGAAUGGUGGUUGUCACUCCACCAGCAUCCAGAUUGUCCAGGUGAAACAGACAUCACUAUGGCAUAAAAAACCCCUCACUUUUAAAACUACUCUCUGGACUUCAGUGAAGCUGGAGUAGCAUUUAAUCUGCUGCUGCCACUCUCCAAUGUGUGGUGCAUUUUUACCUAAGCUGCUGGUCAGACUUCAGACAUGGCCAGAGAAAAGUCACGGAGCAAAUGAUAAAUCGGAGAUUAACCUUGUUAAUGACCUGUUUCCUACCAACUUGGAUGAAUGUUGGACUGAUGAUUUUUGAGGUUUUUCCCAACCUUUGUAACUCUAGGAUUCCAUUCUCUAUGUGUGCAUGAUCCCAGUUUUAAAUAGAGUCAAGCACUGGAUUUCUUGUUUUGCUACUCAGGAUUUGUGACAACCUCUGUUAUUCAUAAAGAUUUAGUAAAAAACAUUUAAAUAAAAUCAAAUCCUUCCCUAAAAGUCUUCCUACACAUCUUCUGUAUGCCUAAGAAAAAGACA